AGCCGACCUUGAAAUACCACCCUUUAAUGUUUGAUGUUCUAACGUGGACCCGUUACCCGGGUUGCGGACAGUGUCUGGUGGGUAGUUUGACUGGGGCGGUCUCCUCCUAAAGAGUAACGGAGGAGCACGAAGGUUGGCUAAUCCUGGUCGGACAUCAGGAGGUUAGUGCAAUGGCAUAAGCCAGCUUGACUGCGAGCGUGACGGCGCGAGCAGGUGCGAAAGCAGGUCAUAGUGAUCCGGUGGUUCUGAAUGGAAGGGCCAUCGCUCAACGGAUAAAAGGUACUCCGGGGAUAACAGGCUGAUACCGCCCAAGAGUUCAUAUCGACGGCGGUGUUUGGCACCUCGAUGUCGGCUCAUCACAUCCUGGGGCUGAAGUAGGUCCCAAGGGUAUGGCUGUUCGCCAUUUAAAGUGGUACGCGAGCUGGGUUUAGAACGUCGUGAGACAGUUCGGUCCCUAUCUGCCGUGGGCGCUGGAGAACUGAGGGGGGCUGCUCCUAGUACGAGAGGACCGGAGUGGACGCAUCACUGGUGUUCGGGUUGUCAUGCCAAUGGCACUGCCCGGUAGCUAAAUGCGGAAGAGAUAAGUGCUGAAAGCAUCUAAGCACGAAACUUGCCCCGA
rnacentral:rRNA from 2 species